UGCCUUAGACAUGCAAGUCGAGCGAGGGCUUCGGCCCUAGCGGCGAACGGCGGAGUAAUGCAUAAGCAACGUGCCCCAAAGACUGGGAUAGUGGAGGGAAACCACCGGUAAUACCAGAUGUGGCCCUUGGUAGGCAUCUAUCGAGGAUUAAACCGAGCAAUCGGCUUUGGGAGCGGCUUAUGUCCUAUCAGCUUGUUGGUAAGGUAACGGCUUACCAAGGCUACGACGGGUAGGGGGUCUGAGAGGAUGAUCCCCCCGAGUGGGACUGCGACACGGCCCACACACCUACGGGUGGCAGCAGUUUGGAAUAUUGCACAAUGGAGGAAACUCUGAUGCAGCGACGCCGCGUGGAGGACGAAGGAUCUAGGUCUGUAAACUCC
rnacentral:rRNA from 1 species